rnacentral:rRNA from 1 species
UACGUAGGGUGCAAGCGUUGUCCGGAAUUAUUGGGCGUAAAGAGCUCGUGGGCGGUCUGUCGCGUCGGCUGUGAAAACUCGGGGCUCAACCCCGAGCCUGCAGUCGAUACGGGCAGACUAGAGUGCUGUAGGGGAGACUGGAAUUCCUGGUGUAGCGGUGAAAUGCGCAGAUAUCGGGAGGAACACCGGUGGCGAAGGCGGUUCUCUGGGCCUGUACUGACGCUGAGGAGCGAAAGCGUGGGGAGCGAACAGG